GAUGGGAGAUGAGGAGAGACUGUGGCAUGGGUGGAAGUUAGAGGUAAAGAAAGAAGACAGUUGAUGGGAGCCAAUGGGGAAGCCAGAGAAAGUACCCUCUAGGAGCUCCGGUUCCCAGGCCUUGCACCAAACCAUUAGCUCUGCUCCUCAGACUGGCGAAUGGCACCUCCACUUACUGAAACGGGGAAGGAGAAAGUCUCCCACCAAGAAGCCACGGGACCUUAAACAAACAUCCAGAAGAGGUUCCUAGCAACACCCAAUCACCCCAUAUUGCCCGCCGCGUUGCCCAGCCCAAGACCUCUUGGUUCCUGCUCCCGCGGAUGCCAAACCGCUGCUUCUGGAGUCCGGUGCAAACAUCGGCUCCUCGGAUGUGGACAUACUGUGGGAAUAUUUGGGGGGGCUGACCCUCCGGACGGGGUGGAGAAGCUAGGGUCUGGCCCCCCGACCUAGUGACCUGGAGAAGAGCUUUCUGCUACACCUUUCCUUUGGGACCAGAUAACCCGUUUUGACUUCA